rnacentral:rRNA from 1 species
CCUACGGGUGGCAGCAGUGGGGAAUAUUGCACAAUGGGGGAAACUCUGAUGCAGCGACGCCGCGUGAGUGAAGACGUAUUUCGGUAUGUAAAGCUCUAUCAGUAGGGAAGUAAAUGACGGUACCUGUUUUAGAAUCACCGGCUAAUUACGUGCCAGCAGCCGUGGUAAUACGUAGGGGGCAAGCGUUAUCCGGAUUUACUGGGUGUAAAGGGAGCGUAGACGGUAGCACAAGUCAGAAGUGAAAUGCCGGGGCUUAACCCCGGAACUGCUUUGGAAACUGUGCAGCUAGAGUGCAGGAGAGGUAGGUGGAAUUCCUGGUGUAGCGGUGAAAUGCGUAGAUAUUAGGAGGAACACCGGUGGCGAAGGCGGCUUACUGGACUGUAACUGACGUUGAGGCUCGAAAGCGUGGGGAGCAAACAGGAUUAGAUACCCCAGUAGUC